rnacentral:rRNA from 1 species
GACGAACGCUGGCGGCGUGCUUAACACAUGCAAGUCGAACGGAAAGGCCCUGCUUUUGUGGGGUGCUCGAGUGGCGAACGGGUGAGUAACACGUGAGUAACCUGCCCUUGACUUUGGGAUAACUUCAGGAAACUGGGGCUAAUACCGGAUAGGAGCUCCUGCUGCAUGGUGGGGGUUGGAAAGUUUCGGCGGUUGGGGAUGGACUCGCGGCUUAUCAGCUUGUUGGUGGGGUAGUGGCUUACCAAGGCUUUGACGGGUAGCCGGCCUGAGAGGGUGACCGGCCACAUUGGGACUGAGAUACGGCCCAGACUCCUACGGGAGGCAGCAGUGGGGAAUAUUGCCCAAUGGGCGGAAGCCUGAUGCAGCAACGCCGCGUGCGGGAUGACGGCCUUCGGGUUGUAAACCGCUUUCGCCUGAGACGAAGCGUGAGUGACGGUAAUGGGUAAAGAAGCACCGGCUAACUACGUG